rnacentral:rRNA from 1 species
AAUUGGAGGGCAAGUCUGGUGCCAGCAGCCGCGGUAAUUCCAGCUCCAAUAGCGUAUAUUAAAGUUGUUGCAGUUAAAAAGCUCGUAGUUGAAUUUCGGGAUCAAUAUUUCGGUCAUGCCGUUGGUAUGCACUGUUAUCAUUGAUUUCUCACCUUCUAAAGAACCGUAAUGCCAUUAAUUUGGUGUUACGGGGAAUUAGGACUGUUACCUUGAAAAAAUUAGAGUGUUUAAAGCAGGCUCACGCUUGAAUACAUUAGCAUGGAAUAAUGAAAUAGGACAUCCGAUCCUAUUUUGUUGGUUUCUAGGAUCGAUGUAAUGAUUAAUAGGGAUAGUUGGGGGCAUUAGUAUUCAAUUGUCAGAGGUGAAAUUCUUGGAUUUAUUGAAGACUAACUACUGCGAAAGCAUUUGCCAAGGAUGUUUUCAUUAAUCAAGAACGAAAGUUAGGGGAUCGAAGACGAUCAGAUACCGUCGUAGUCUUAACCAUAAACUAUGCCGACUAGGGAUCGGAUGAUGUUAAUUUUUUAAUGACUCAUUCGGCGCCUUACGGGAAACCAAAGUGU